GGGACACACAACUAUUGAGAAACUUGAAAUCAAAAAUUGUAUACCUCUUGCUAAUCGUACGCUUCUGUGUAACACGUCCAAUUUUUUUCGUGGAAUAUGUAGUUUCGCACCCCAUCUAAACUACUUGAUCUUGAACAAUGUUCUAUGGGAUAUGCGAUCGAUUAUUCUGACAUGUAAAGAAAACUUUACAGAACUUCGAGAACUUGAACUAUCUUCAUGUUUUUGUAUACGGGAGUUACAUCCAAACAUAGAUUUAUCCAUUUUCAUUUGUAAUUGCCCAAAACUAAAGCUUCUAAACUUUCAAAACACAGCAGUUGAGGACAGAUUAGUUGAAUGGUUUUGUGAAAUUGAAUCUUUAGAGGAACUGUAUUUAGAAUGCCCUAAAUAUUUAAGGAAAGAAUGGUCAAAUGAAUCAUUAAAGGAGUUACAAAAAGUGCGUUAUGAAGGACGCAUUUGUUUGAGGCAGCAUGAUACUAAGUUUCAUAUCUUUUUAUGUACAGUAGAACAUCUUCUCGCCGGAAACAGAGUUGAAG